rnacentral:rRNA from 1 species
AACGAACGCUGGCGGCGCGUCUUAAACAUGCAAGUCGAACGAUCUGUAGCAAUACAGGGAGUGGCGGACGGGUGAGGAACACGUAGGAAUCUACCUUGAAGAGCGGGACAACUUUGGGAAACCGGGGCUAAUACCGCAUAGUACAGAGAUGUUAAAGGGCUAGCAAUAGUCGCUUCGAGAUGAGCCUGCGAUCUAUCAGCUUGUUGGUGAGGUAAUGGCUCACCAAGGCUACGACGGAUAGCCGGUCUGAGAGGAUGAUCGGCCACACUGGCACUGAGACACGGGCCAGACUCCUACGGGAGGCAGCAGUUAAGAAUCUUGCGCAAUGGGGGAAACCCUGACGCAGCGACGCCGCGUGAAGGAUGAAGGCUUUCGGGUUGUAAACUUCGGUAGACUGGGAAGAAGAAAUACGUUCGUUGAGGGCGUAUAGUGACGGUACCAGUCUGAAGCCCCGGCUAAUUACGUG